GGCUGGCGGCGUGCUCAUACUGCAGUCGAGCGAACUUUGGGAGCUUGCUCCCAAAGGUUAGCGGCGGACGGGUGAGUAACACGUGGGCAUCCUGCCUAUAAGACUGGGAUAACUUCGGGAAACCGGAGCUAAUACCGGAUCAUUCUUUUCUACACAUGUAGGAAAGCUGAAAGACGGUUUACGCUGUCACUUAUAGAUGGGCCCGCGGCGCAUUAGCUAGUUGGUGAGGUAACGGCUCACCAAGGCCACGAUGCGUAGCCGACCUGAGAGGGUGAUCGGCCACACUGGGACUGAGACACGGCCCAGACUCCUACGGGAGGCAGCAGUAGGGAAUC
rnacentral:rRNA from 1 species